rnacentral:rRNA from 1 species
UACGGGGGGGGCAAGCGUUGUUCGGAUUCAUUGGGCGUAAAGGGUGCGUAGGUGGCGCGCUAAGUCAGGUGUGAAAUUUCGGAGCUUAACUCCGAAACUGCAUUUGAUACUGGUGUGCUUGAGGACUGGAGAGGAGACUGGAAUUCAUGGUGUAGCAGUGAAAUGCGUAGAGAUCAUGAGGAAGACCAGUGGCGAAGGCGGGUCUCUGGACAGUUCCUGACACUGAGGCACGAAGGCCAGGGGAGCAAACGGG